rnacentral:rRNA from 1 species
GAGCGCCCCGCAAGGGGAGCGGCAGACGGGAGAGUAACACGUGGGAACGUACCCUUCAGUUCGGAACAACCCAGGGAAACUUGGGCUAAUACCGAAUACGUCCGUAAGGAGAAAGAUUUAUCGCUGAAGGAUCAGCCCGCGUCUGAUUAGCUAGUUGGUGAGGUAACGGCUCACCAAGGCUACGAUCAGUAGCUGGUCUGAGAGGAUGAUCAGCCUCACUGGGACUGAGACACGGCCCAGACUCCUACGGGAGGCAGCAGUGGGGAAUAUUGGGCGAUGGGCGCAAGCCUGAUCCAGCCAUGCCGCGUGGAUGAUGAAGGCCUUAGGGUUGUAAAGUCCUUUCGGCGGGGAAGAUAAUGACGGUACCCGCAGAAGAAGCCCCGGCUAACUUCGUGCCAGCAGCCGCGGUAAUACGAAGGGGGCUAGCGUUGCUCGGAAUCACUGGGCGUAAAGCGCACGUAGGCGGCUUUUUAAGUCAGGGGUGAAAUCCUGGAGCUCAACUCCAGAACUGCCUUUGAUACUGAGAGGCUUGAGUCCGGGAGAGGUGAGUGGAACUGCGAGUGUAGAGGUGAAAUUCGUAGAUAUUCGCAAGAACACCAGUGGCGAAGGCGGCUCACUGGCCCGGUACUGACGCUGAGGCGCGAAAGCGUGGGGA